CAGUCUAAGUUUAAGCAAUCUGUACUGUGAGACUGCGAAUGGCUCACAAUAUCAGUUAUCGUGUAGGUNANAGAACNCUAGGACAUGGAUGACCGUNGUAAUUCUAGAGCUAAUACAUGCUANAANCCUUGAGUUCGGGAGGGGUGUAUUUAUUAGAUAACAAACCACUGCCGUUUGGGGCUCCUUGGUGAUUCAUAAUGAUUGAAUGAAUCGCCUGCCCUCGCGCCGGGGAUGGUUCAUUCAUAUUUCUGCCCUAUCAACUUUGGAUGGUAGGAUACUGGCCUACCAUGGUUUGAACGGGUAACGGGGAAUUAGGGUUUUAUUCCGGAGAGCGAGCGUGAGAAACGGCUACUACAUCCAAGGAAGGCAGCAGGCGCGCAAAUCACCCAAUCCCAACACGGGGAGGUAGUGACAAUAAAUAAUGAUGUGGAGCUCUUUAGGGUUUCACAAUUGGAAUGAGUACAAUUUAAAUCCCUUAACGAGGAACAAUUGGAGGGCAAGUCUGGUGCCAGCAGCCGCGGUAAUUCCAGCUCCAAUAGCGUAUAUUAAAGUUGUUGCAGUUAAAAAGCUCGUAGUUGAACCUUGGGCCUGGCUGACCGGUCCGCCUCACCGCGAGCACUGGUUCGGCCGGGCCUUUCCUUCUGGGGAGCCGCAUGCCCUUCACUGGGUGUGUCGGGGAACCAGGACUUUUACUUUGAAAAAAUUAGAGUGUUCAAAGCAGGCCUAUGCUCGAAUACAUUAGCAUGGAAUAAUAGAAUAGGACGUGUGGUUCUAUUUUGUUGGUUUCUAAGACCGCCGUAAUGAUUAAUAGGGAUAGUCCGGGGCAUCAGUAUUCAAUUGUCAGAAGUGAAAUUCUUGGAUUUAUUGAAGACUAACUACUGCGAAAGCAUUUGCCAAGGAUGUUUUCAUUAAUCAGUGAACGAAAGUUGGGGGGAUCGAAAACAAUCAGAUUCCGUCGUAUUCUUAACCAUAAACUAUGCCGACUAGGGAUCGGACGGUGUUNUCAUUUUGACCCGUUUCGGCCCUUACGAAAAAUCCAAAUCUUUGGGUUCUGGGGGGAAUUUGGUCCCCAAGGCUAAACUUAAAGAAAUUGACGGAAGGGCACCACCAGGUGUGGACCUGCGGCUUAAUUUGACUCAACACGGGGAAACUCACCAGGUCCAGACACAAUAAGGAUUGACAGAUUGAUAGCUCUUUCUUGAUCUUGUGGUUGGUGGUGCAUGGCCGUUCUUAGUUGGUGGAGUGAUUUGUCUGGUUAAUUCCGAUAACGAACGAGACCUUAACCUGCUAAAUAGACCAGCCGACUUUGGUUGGCUGCUGUCUUCUUAGAGGGACUAUCAGCGUUUACCUAAUGGAAUUUUGAGGCAAUAACAGGUCUGUGAUGCCCUUAGAUGUCCUGGGCCGCACGCGCGCUACACUGACAGAGCCAACGAGUUCUCCACCUUGGCCGGAAGGUCUGGGUAAUCUUGUUAAACUCUGUCGUGAUGGGGAUAGAACAUUGCAAUUAUUGUCUUCAACGAGGAAUACCUAGUAAGCGUAAGUCAUCAGCUUGCGUUGAUUACGUCCCUGCCCUUUGUACACACCGCCCGUCUCUACUACCGAUUGAAUGGCUCAGUGAGGCCUUCGGACUGGCUCAGAGAGGUCGGCAACGACCACUNAGAGCCGGGAAUUNGUCNAACUUGUCAUUUAGAGGAAG
rnacentral:rRNA from 1 species